CAGUAGCCGGGGAACACAGAGGGUGCGAGCGUUAAUCGGAUUUACUGGGCGUAAAGCGUGCGUAGGCGGCUUUUUAAGUCGGAUGUGAAAUCCCUGAGCUUAACUUAGGAAUUGCAUUCGAUACUGGGAAGCUAGAGUAUGGGAGAGGAUGGUAGAAUUCCAGGUGUAGCGGUGAAAUGCGUAGAGAUCUGGAGGAAUACCGAUGGCGAAGGCAGCCAUCUGGCCUAAUACUGACGCUGAGGUACGAAAGCAUGGGGAGCAAACAGGAUUAGAGACCCGCGUAGUCCCUGUCUCUUAUACA
rnacentral:rRNA from 1 species